CAGACGAACUCCUGAAACCGCUAGAGGCGGAGGUGCCAGAAGAUAUUUCAAGUAAAAACCCUAAAAAUCCCAAAAAAAUCAAGAGAAAUAAGAGACGAAAGGUCCGUGGGGAACCAGACAGGUGGAAUGCGACAGAAGAAAAAUGAAGAAGAAGGAACACCUAAAUGACGAGAGAAGGAACGAAAGUUCUGAAACUAACCUACGCUGCUCCGAAGGAUGCAGAGGUGCAGGGACAGGGAUGACUCGAAGAACACCGAGGGCCAAAACGGACGUCGAGGAAGGUC
rnacentral:lncRNA from 1 species